GACGAACGCUGGCGGCGUGCUUAACACAUGCAAGUCGAACGGAAAGGCCCUGCUUGCAUGGUGCUCGAGUGGCGAACGGGUGAGUAACACGUGGGUGAUCUGCCCCUUACUUUGGGAUAAGCCUGGGAAACUGGGUCUAAUACUUGAUAGGGCAAAGCUGGAGGUGGUGUGGUGGAAAGAUUAGUUUCGGUAAGGGAUGAGAUCGCGGCCUGUCAGCUUGUUGGUGGGGUAAUGGCCUAGCAAGGCGUCGACGGGUAGCCGGCCGGAGGGGGUGGACGGCGACAUUGGGACUGCUACGCGGCGCAGCAGCGUGGGGGAGGCAGCAGUGGGGGCUAUUGUCAUAUUGGCGCAAGGCGGAUGCAGCGACGGCGCGCGGGGGGUGACGGCCUUCGGGUGGUAAACACCUUUCACCGAUGACGAAGCCCUUGUGGUGACGGUAGUGGUAGAAGAAGCACCGGCUAACUACGUG
rnacentral:rRNA from 1 species